rnacentral:rRNA from 1 species
CCUACGGGUGGCAGCAGUGGGGAAUAGUGGGCAAUGGGCGCAAGCCUGACCCAGCAACGCCGCGUGAAGGAAGAAGGCUUUCGGGUUGUAAACUUCUUUUCUCAGGGACGAAGAAAGUGACGGUACCUGAGGAAUAAGCCACGGCUAACUACGGGCCAGCAGCCGCGGUAAUACGUAGGUGGCAAGCGUUAUCCGGAUUUACGGGGUGUAAUGGGCGUGUAGGCGGGACUGCAAGUCAGAUGUGAAAACCCCGGGCUCAACCUGUGGCCUGCAUUUGAAACUGUAGUUCUUGAGUACUGGCGUGUCAGCCGGCCUUCCUAGUGUCGCGCUGACAUGCGUCGAUAUUAGGAGGAACACCAGUGGCGCCGGCGGUCUGCUGGACAGCACCUGACGCUGAGGCGCGACAGCGUGGGGAGCACACCGGAUUAGAUACCCCGGUAGUC